rnacentral:rRNA from 1 species
AGUAGAACGCUGAAGAGAGGAGCUUGCUCUUCUUGGAUGAGUUGCGAACGGGUGAGUAACGCGUAGGUAACCUGCCUGGUAGCGGGGGAUAACUAUUGGAAACGAUAGCUAAUACCGCAUAAAAUGGAUUAUCGCAUGAUAAUCAAUUGAAAGGUGCAAAUGCAUCACUACCAGAUGGACCUGCGUUGUAUUAGCUAGUUGGUGGGGUAACGGCUCACCAAGGCGACGAUACAUAGCCGACCUGAGAGGGUGAUCGGCCACACUGGGACUGAGACACGGCCCAGACUCCUACGGGAGGCAGCAGUAGGGAAUCUUCGGCAAUGGACGGAAGUCUGACCGAGCAACGCCGCGUGAGUGAAGAAGGUUUUCGGAUCGUAAAGCUCUGUUGUAAGAGAAGAACGAGUGUGAGAGUGGAAAGUUC